CAGCCGCCGCGGGAAUACGUAGGUGGCAAGCGUUGUCCGGAAUUAUUGGGCGUAAAGCGCGCGCAGGUGGUUUAAUAAGUCUGAUGUGAAAGCCCACGGCUCAACCGUGGAGGGUCAUUGGAAACUGUUAAACUUGAGGGCAGGAGAGAAAAGUGGAAUUCCUAGUGUAGCGGUGAAAUGCGUAGAGAUUAGGAGGAACACCAGUGGCGAAGGCGGCUUUUUGGCCUGUAACUGACACUGAGGCGCGAAAGCGUGGGGAGCAAACAGGAUUAGAUACCCCGGUAGUCCCUGUCUCUUAUAC
rnacentral:rRNA from 1 species